UACAGAGGGUGCGAGCGUUAAUCGGAAUUACUGGGCGUAAAGCGCGCGUAGGCGGCUUUGCAAGUCGGGUGUGAAAUCCCCAGGCUUAACCUGGGAACUGCAUUCGAGACUGCAUUGCUAGAGUAUGGGAGAGGGAAGUGGAAUUUCCGGUGUAGCGGUGAAAUGCGUAGAUAUCGGAAGGAACAUCAGUGGCGAAGGCGACCCUCUGGACCAGCACUGACGCUGAGGCACGAAAGCGUGGGGAGCAAACAGG
rnacentral:rRNA from 1 species